GCUGGGAUAGUGAAAAUGGAAAACACGCGGAGCCUCCCCAACCUCGUAACGUGAGUUCGAUUCUCACUCCCGGCA
rnacentral:tRNA from 1 species